CUGCCCACGUGGCAGACUCUUGCCCUGGUCUCAGAUUCCCGGCCCUGGCCCCCGGCCUGAUUUACUCCUGUAGCUCCGCCUGACUAGUGACACCGCCUCUGCUCAGCUCCCAUAUCACCUCCUUGAUGACAUCUCAGGUCCCAGGCACAGGUCUCGGAAGAUGAGUCAGCUCGGAGGCAGGCGGGUGGAGAGUUUGAGAUCAGGACGAGCGGAGCUCUGAGAUUUCAGCCCCAAGCGAGCCACCGUCUCAGGAGUGCAGCCUUCGCGCAGUCCCGUGGAGGAGCCUUGCCUGCUGUGUUCCUCACGCCCAGCUCUGUGCCUGGCAGACACAGUCAGCUUACUGAGUGCCCUGGACUGAACGGGGCGAAGUGCAAACAAAACUGUUUUCUCCAAGCGCUGUCUGAUAAACCCCCGUUUGUCCGCCAUUCUUCUGCGUCCUGGAUGAAAUCUUGGCAGACCCCAUAGCCUUUCUGUUGCUCUGAGAACUUCAUUCUCAGCCCUGUGCCCCACUCACGGUGUGUCCUGGGGCUCUGCUGAGGGAGGAGCGUGGAGAGGAG
ensembl:lncRNA